GAGUUUGAUCGUGGCUCAGGAUGAACGCUAGCGGCAGGCUUAAUACAUGCAAGUCGUGGGGCAGCAGGGCUGUAGCAAUACAGUCGCUGGCGACCGGCAAACGGGUGCGGAACACGUACGCAACCUUUUCCUCAAGUGGGGGAUAGCCCGGGGAAACCCGAUUAAUACCCCGUAAUAUAAUGAGGUGGCAUCACCUUAUUAUUAUAGCUCCGGCGCUUGAAGAUGGGCGUGCGCCUGAUUAGGUAGUUGGCGGGUAAUGGCCCACAAGCCUACGAUCAGUAACUGGUGUGAGAGCACGACCAGUCACACGGGCACUGA
rnacentral:rRNA from 1 species